CUCACCGUCAGCAUCAGUCUCCCUGGCAACACAGUGUUUUUGACAAGUCAGGCUUCUGUCCUAUUAGUUUCCUGUCGGUUGCUUAGUAACCGCCCAGGGCUCGUUCUCAGUCACUGUGUGUGAGCCAGCAUUCGGGGACUCGAUCCUGGAACAGGGCGUCCCUCUGCUUCGCUCUGCACCGAAGUGCUUUGCCCUGCGCCGGUGGGAGGCGGUGGGAGGGGCACAUCCUGUCCACCCCGCGACGGCAGAUGGCGGAGAGCCAGCAGCCUGGGGUCCGCUUGAAGGUCAGGCUCCCCGUCUGUCCCCAUCUUCCCUUUUUGCCAAGUCCCCUGCUGUCCCUGGGGCUCGGCCCUGUGGGGAGACACCCCUGCAAGGCUCCUGGUCCCCAGGCUGCCCCAUAGACUGGAUGGCACGCUAGAGGGAGACAGGUGUCCUGAACACCAAGCCAGCGUUUGGCUCCGCUCUGUCCACAGACGGUGGCCAGCUGCAGGGUAUCACUGGAGUAUACUGGAGCACAGCUGGUCACUAGAGUGACACCGUGAAGCCGAACGGAAUAAAGACAUCUAUCUACGCGCAGACCGGUCCUCGGCCAUCCGUGGGGAAGGAAGAGCUCUUGGAACGUGAGGCGUCCUUACGCGGGAGUCCUCAAGUGGGUUUGAAGCAGCUAAGUGUCCGGGGAGGAACUGGGGAAGGCGUCGGGGCCAGAGAACACGGCACGGUAGGACGCAGAGGGCACCGGCCCCGGGGGUCACGCCCCACUUUUGACUCCCCCGGGUUAUCAUAUCCUGCCGAUGACUCACGUGUUUUUGCUCAUCUGAAAGGUAAAGCUAUAGGAGGUUGUGAGUAUUAAGUGAGAAGAUGUGUACGGAAACACAGUGGAAAAUUCCAAGGACCAGUGGAACUGUGGCAUUCCUGUUACAUAAUAAUAGAAAGUCUCCACUGGUCGAAGUACCUAAUCCACUCAACAUCCCGGACGAAACACACGCUACCACGGGGCUUCUACGCUUGCAAAAACUGUCGCAUGUGGGUCAUCAAUGAAUUACUAUUCCGGUAGGGGAAGGUGGCUUCCCUCCAGGGCUCUCCAGAGAGAC
rnacentral:lncRNA from 1 species